AGCAGCCGCGGUAAUUCCAGCUCCAAUAGCGUAUAUUAAAGUUGUUGCAGUUAAAAGCUCGUAGUUGAAUUUCGGGAUCAGUAUGUUGGUCGUGCUUCGGUACGUACUGUCAUUACUGGUUUCUACCUUCUGAAGAACCUUGAUGUCAUUAAUUUGGUGUCUUGGGGAAUCAGGACUGUUACUUUGAAAAAUUAGAGUGUUUAAAGCAAGCAUACGCUUGAAUACAUUAGCAUGGAAUAAUGAAAUAGGACGUUUGAUUCUAUUUUGUUGGUUUCUAGGAUCGACGUAAUGAUUAAUAGGGAUAGUUGGGGGCAUUAGUAUUCAAUUGUCAGAGGUGAAAUUCUUGGAUUUAUUGAAGACUAACUACUGCGAAAGCACUUGCCAAGGAUGUUUUCAUUAAUCAAGAACGAAAGUUAGGGACCGAAGACGAUCAGAUACCGUCGUAGUCUU
rnacentral:rRNA from 1 species